UGGUCUUACGUCUUGCGACUAAUUAAAGUUUGUAGAAUAUUUAUUUAGUAAAAUAGUGAAUAAGUUAUAUCACGAUUUAUGAGGCCCGUCCGAUUGAAGGGCAGUACGGGUCGUGCGAAGGAUAGGUAACCAAAAAUCGCUUCUAAAUGGGAUUUCCAAGCGAGUUUUCGUCAAGGCCACGACCGGCUCGAUACAUCUACCAUCUGCGGCUGCUGCGGGUGGAGCAUACAACCUACAGUGGAUGUCCAGCAUGUUACAGUAGCUGCUGUAGUAAAUAGAAUCUUUGGCUUUGCAUCGGACAGUUUGGCGUUGCAGCAGCACCCCGUUAUUCAUCCAGGUGAAAGCUCACAUAAACUGUUGAGCCGCGAAUGAAUUGCUCACUUUUAAACAAACGGCGCAGUCUGGACCGAUUCUUCGACGUAAAAAAACAAGAGCAGUUAGCCUGCCUCGCCUUAUGGGAAUGGGACUGAAGUGCUAAACUCCCGGAAAUAAACCGAAAAAAGCGACUGACAUAUCUUGGUUUAGUAGGCUAUGGUAUGGCCGGAAUCUACGUUGACGAUGCGUAUUCUAGCGAAAUUUAUUGGAAACAUUAUUUCAAAACCGUUUGGCAAAGACAUCUCUCGGAAUCGUAGAAACUAGGACAUGACCGGUAGCGCAAACUCUGUUGAGAACCGGGCGAGCAUGCGAAAAAUAAACAGUGACAUCUGGAUCGCAAGAGUAAGCCAUCAGCAGGGUCUAUACGAUCGUACACGGCCAAUACAUCAACCACCACCAGCUAAAUGGAUUCGGCAUUCUCCAACCUACGAGUCAGAAAAGGUCCAUCGCCUAAGCCCAGAGAAUCGUUUGUGUAUAAUAGCGCUAGCUGGAGCUUCCAGCGCUAGACGUAACCGAUCGCCUUGUAGAAAGAUGUAAGCUAUAGCUUGGAGCUUCGACACGUGUCAAAAUUCAAGAUUAAGUGGAACUACAUAGACCAAACAAUAUCCAUCCAUCCGGCUUGAAGGAAUCUAUUAUUGAAUGCAGUAGGGAAUGAUUAGGAAAAAUAGUCUACUAGAUUUGAGCAACAAGAAAAAUAUGCGCAUAACAAAGAACAGAAGAAACGAAGGCUCCUCCGCAAGCUCGAUAUUCUAUUGACCACUGGUUCCUGUCUUUGAGAGUACGUGUGCGUGAAAAAUAUUACCAAUGUGAAGGUAAUCUGCGAUAUCCUGAUUUACAGGAUUGAAUCGAAUGGGAAGAAUGAUGGCAGAAUCACUCAGAACUCUACUAACUAUUCCUUACCUAGUUCUUAAACCACCAAUAGUGAUUUAUGAAAACAACACAACCAUAUGCAGAAGUCUUAACCCCCGGAGGCACAGAAGGAAAAAUCUAAAACGAUGCCGAAACCACUGUCUCAUAUCACGAUGUUAGAAACGAACAUUCAUCGAAACUCUAAAGGGGAAAGGCAUCACGGAUCGUCCUUGGAGCUCAUCAAGCACUUUAUAUCGGUUUACUACAAAUAUAUCGCCAGUGCACUUUGACUUCAAUCAUAGACCAAUCAUUCAAUCAUAGGCAAUCAAUCAUAGACGAAACAAUCAAUCAUAGACCAAUAAAUUAUUAAUAAACCAAUCAAUCAAUCCCGUGAUGAACUUAUUUUUAAGAUACAAAAUCUCGUUAAUAAAGUAUUAAAAAAAAUCAAUCAAUCAUGGAUCAAUCAACUAUAGGCCAACCAAUAUCAAUCAUAGGGCGAUCAAUUAAUCAUAGGCCAAUCAAUCAAUCAGGUCAAGCAAUCAAUCAUAGAUCAAUCAAUCAGUCAUAAACCAAUCAAUUAAUCAUAUGCCAAUCAAUAAGUCAUAGACCAAUCAAUUAAUCAUAGGCCAAUCAAUCAAUCAUAGACCAAUAAACCAAUCAUAGGCCAAUCAAUAUCAAUCAUAGAUCAAGCAGGUGGCCCUCCUUAGCCGUGCGGUAAGAUGCGCGGCUACCAAGCAGUACCAUGCUGAGGGUGGCUGGGUUCGAUUCCCGUCGCCGGUCUAAGUAAUUUUCGAUUUGGAAAUUGUCUCGACUUCCCUGGGCAUAAAACUAUCAUCGUGUUGGCCUCAUGAUAUACAAAUGCAGAAAUGGUAACUUGGCUUAGAAACCUCGCAGUUAAUAACUGUGGAAGUGAAUGAACACUAAGCUACGAAACGGCAAUGCCCCAGUGAGGGAAUUAAUGCCAAUGAAGAAGAAGAAGAAGAUUAAGCAAUGAAUCAUUUUUUUAGUUCUUCAAUUAAUCAAUUAAUCAUAAACCAAUCAAUAAAUCAUAAACCAAUCAAUCAAUCAUAGACCAAUCAAUUAAUCAUAGGCCAAUCAAUCAAUCAUGGACCAUACAAUCAAUCAUGGACCAUACAAUCAAUCAUAGACCAACCAAUAA